AAAGUACAGCGGUGACUAGUUAGAGUGGAGCAGGU
rnacentral:piRNA from 1 species